rnacentral:lncRNA from 1 species
CAACAAGUCGUUCGUCACGUUAAUUACAGAGUUUCUAUUCAGAGUUUGAUCUAUCUAUUAUAUUUUCCAGGGUUAUCCAUAACUUUGAGUUGUGCUUCAUGAAGAAGGAAAGGGGGCUAACAACUCGCCUGAAAGGGUGAGUUACCGUCACACCAAGGGAGAAUUUCGAUCUUCACGCCACCACAAGAAAGGGACACUAUAAAAGCUGGUUCUGCUCCGGGCUGCUCUCCUGCUUUGUCUGUACUUUUCUAGCCUUAGUGGGUGAUGUCCCAGCAGCUCUAACGUUCCGACCCCAGUAACCCACUAGUCAACAGGCGGGAGCAUUUGCAGA